rnacentral:rRNA from 1 species
GAUGAACGCUAGCGGCAGGCUUAACACAUGCAAGUCGAGGGGCAGCGCGAGGUAGCAAUACUUUGGCGGCGACCGGCGAAAGGGUGAGUAACGCGUGAGCAACAUGCCCGUUGCAGGGGGAUAGUCGAUGGAAACGUCGUGUAAUACCCCGUAAUAUAACGAAUCGCAUGUUUUGUUAUUGAAAGAUUUAUCGGCAACGGAUUGGCUCGCGUACCAUUAGCUAGUUGGUGGGGUAACGGCCCACCAAGGCGACGAUGGUUAGGGGUUCUGAGAGGAAGGUCCCCCACAUUGGAACUGAGACACGGUCCAAACUCC